rnacentral:rRNA from 1 species
UACGAAGGGGGCUAGCGUUGCUCGGAAUCACUGGGCGUAAAGCGCACGUAGGCGGCUUCUUAAGUCAGGGGUGAAAUCCUGGAGCUCAACUCCAGAACUGCCCUUGAUACUGUAGAGCUUGAGACCGGAAGAGGUAAGUGGAACUGCGAGUGUAGAGGUGAAAUUCGUAGAUAUUCGCAAGAACACCAGUGGCGAAGGCGGCUUACUGGUCCGGUUCUGACGCUGAGGCGCGAAAGCGUGGGGAGCAAACAGG